UACGUAGGUGGCAAGCGUUGUCCGGAUUUACUGGGCGUAAAGGGCGUGCAGGCGGUUUGUUAAGUGCAGGGUGAAAGCUCCCGGCUCAACUGGGAGAGGUCCUUGCAUACUGGCAAACUCGAGGGAGGCAGAGGAAAGUGGAAUUCCCGGUGUAGUGGUGAUAUGCGUAGAUAUCAGGAGGAACACCGAUGGCGAAGGCAGGUCUCUGGGCAUUAACUGACGCUGAGGAGCGAAAGCAUGGGGAGCGAACAGG
rnacentral:rRNA from 1 species